ensembl:lncRNA
UUUUCAAAGAGUUGAAUGUUUCUGAACAGUCUAGUCUUAAAAAUACGCUUAUUGCUUCCUCAUUUACUUGACAAUAUAUUUCGAAGGCAGCUGUUGUGCUAUGAGCUAUGCGUUCAUUGGCUUUGAUUACCAAUGUAAGCCAAUUGCCUCCUUAGCGACUGCCUGCGCGUGUCCAUAAACAAAGUACAAAGAGUGUUGUCCGGUGCCCAGCGACGUCACCGCAUUUGAUUGCGCGACAGUGUGCCAUUAGACUCAAACACUGUGGCAUGUUUCCCGAGGUAAGAUACCCUGAUGUGACUCUGUUUCGGAACUCGUCUCUCUUGCACUGAAAUGGGACAGGGGGUGUGGAAAGAAGCAGAAUCUCCCUUCUCAGGCAUUUUUAAUACAAAAACACACUGUUUUAACACUCCGAUUUGAGGAUCCAUGGGAAUACCAUUUUCGUCAGAGAUGUCCACCGCUGCAACUCCAACCGUCCCGUCUCAGUUAACGUCGGAUCAACUCACCGUCAUUGUGGCAACAUUUUCCUCUCUGGUGUUCUUUGUGGUGAUCGUGGUGCUGCUUAUAUACCGCAAAGACCCUCACUGCUGCAAAUUCCAGUGCUGUCCAGAUUCUAGUGGAGACUUGGACGCCCCUCCUCACUACUACAGCAGCAGACAGGCCCUGGUGGGAACGCCCUGCCAGGACCAGGCUCAGGACACAGUGCACAACAGCGCCCGUUCGCAGACGGGACAGCUGUUCCUGAUCGGCCUGCCGUCCAGCUACCGCCUGCCCUCCCUGGAGGCGCCCCUGCCCAGGCUGCCAUCCUACGAGAGCGUCAGGAAGAAGGACCGCCAGAGACAAAUCCACAUGAUGAUCGCAGACCGUUUUGGCCUGAACGGCCCCAUGCUGUCUGAGCCCCCUCCGUCAUAUGAGGAGAGCAUCCGUCAGUCUGCUGAAGUGCCUUUUGACAUUCUGGGGUCUGUAAUGGACACCCCUUACUCGGAGAACCCUCCGUUCCCCGCCGCAGACCUGACCACUCGGACAGCGUUAUCCACUCAGGGCCCGUCCUCUCUGGAUCCAUCACCUCAGGAGAUCAGCAGUGCCAGACUCCCCGUCUGAACCCCUCAGACCCCCCUCUACCUACUCCUCCUGGCCAACGGUGGUGAGGGCGUCGGGACUGUGGAUGCUCUGUACACUCCUUGCUUUUUGAAUGGGAGACAUUAGAAAUCUACACAUUUUCAAUAGGUCCAAUCAGAUCACUAGAUGGACUGCAUCGUGGGAAUAUCCAGCGCUGAAAGUGCGUCGGUAAUGGGACGACGACCAAAGAUUGAGAAAUUCCUCCACUGCCUCCGUGGCAGGUUACUUCAUGCUGACCUACUUGAAUGUCUAUACAACCUUGUCAGUUAUGUAAGUUAUCCGAAAUAAGACCGGGGAGACCUUGAUUGCCAUUUAUCUGCUGGAGAUGACUAAUGACAUGAUUAUAUCUGAGAUGGCAGGUUCAUCUCACGCAAAAAGGAAUGGCUCUGACACUUCCCGUCUGUACAGACUAACCAUUUCUGUAAACAGAUGAAAACACCAAAAAGGGAAGAACAGGAAAGUUACACUUUUUACAAUUGUUUCUCAUAUUAUUUACUUUUGAUCAAUGGUACCCUCUUUAAGUCACUUUAUGGAUGAAAGUAAUCUUGAUUGUACUGUUUUAGGGGGAACUGUGUUGUAGCAAAUCCUAUUCUGUGUAAAACCACUCUCAUUUCGUAGAGCUGUGUGGGAGCCAAAGACAUAUGUGGGGGAGUUCUACAGCAGUCAGCUACAACUCGCGUGUUAGCCUUGAAACCUGUGAAGAGAGUGAGUCAACAACACCAGACCUGUCUUAGCACUGGCACAAGAGUCUUAAAAGACAAUUAAGCACUGGGAUUCUAGGAUACUCCAACCUGACGUGGCUUUGUCCAUUCAAAAGCUAUAUGAAUGUGUUCAAUGAAAAUAUCAAAAGCAAAUUGCUUUUUGUUCACAAGCUGAUUUUAUUAACUAAACUCUGGGUGGCCUUUUUUAAUAGUCCAUGAACAAGCCGGGGAAUAAAAAACAGCAAAUAUAAAGUAUACUUUCUCCUAGUCUAUAAAAAAGUAAGAUGCUUAAUCAGCAGUUAAUUACAGAUACGCUUAUUCAAAGAACAACAAGGGGGGAACAUUUGAAUGUUUUUACAGAAGUUAAAACAUCAGUCAAUUUUCCUUUGAACCCACCACUUACUUAUAUCUGGCCUAUGACUAUUAACACACAUUAAGCUCACUAUGUACAGAUUUAUGUAUAUACAUAUUAAACUGAGGUGUUACAUAUUGAACUUCUUUUUUGUACAUUCUUCUACAGGGAAAUUGCCAAAUGUUAAAUAUCAUACCAACAGGAGUAAAAUGAAUGUUUUUUUUCUUUCUGAGCUAAUAAACAG